rnacentral:rRNA from 1 species
ACGUACGCUGGCGGCACGCCUAACACAUGCAAGUCGAACGAAGUAGCAAUACUUAGUGGCAGACGGGUGAGUAACAUGUAGGUAUCUGCCCUUUGGCCUGGAAUAACACGAGGAAACUUGUGCUAAUACCGGAUAAGUCUUUACAGAGAAAGCUUUAUGCACCAUUGGAUGAGCCUGCACUUGAUUAGUUUGUUGGUGGGGUAAUGGCCUACCAAGACUGUGAUCAAUAGCUGAUUUGAGAGGAUGAUCAGCCACAUUGGGACUGAGACACGGCCCAAACUCCUACGGGAGGCAGCAGUGGGGAAUCUUGCACAAUGGAGGAAACUCUGAUGCAGCGAUGCCGCGUGAGUGAAGAAGGCCUUUGGGUUGUAAAGCUCUUUCGUCGGGGAAGAAAAUGACUGUACCCGAAUAAGAAGGUCCGGCUAACUUCGUGCCAGCAGCCGCGGUAAUACGAAGGGACCUAGCGUAGUUCGGAAUUACUGGGCUUAAAGAGUUCGUAGGUGGUUGAAAAAGUUAGUGGUGAAAUCCCAGAGCUUAACUCUGGAACUGCCAUUAAAACUUUUCAGCUAGAGUAUGAUAGAGGAAAGCAGAAUUUCUAGUGUAGAGGUGAAAUUCGUAGAUAUUAGAAAGAAUACCAAUUGCGAAGGCAGCUUUCUGGAUCAUUACUGACACUGAGGAACGAAAGCAUGGGUAGCGAAGAGGAUUAGAUACCCUCGUAGUCCAUGCCGUAAACGAUGUGUGUUAGACGUUGGAAAUUUAUUUUCAGUGUCGCAGCGAAAGCGAUAAACACACCGCCUGGGGAGUACGACCGCAAGGUUAAAACUCAAAUGAAUUGACGGGGACCCGCACAAGUAGUGGAGCAUGUGGUUUAAUUCGAAGAUACGCGCAGAACCUUACCAACACUUGACAUGUUCGUCGCGACUCUAAGAGAUUAGAGUUUUCGGUUCGGCCGGACGAAACACAGGUGCUGCAUGACUGUCGUCAGCUCGUGUCGUGAGAUGUUGGGUUAAGUCCCGCAACGAGCGCAACCCUCGCUUUUAGUUGCCAUCAUUAAGUUGGGCACUCUGAAAGAACUGCCAGUGAUAAGCUGGAGGAAGGUGGGGAUGACGUCAAGUCCUCAUGGCCCUUACGUGUUGGGCUACACACGUGCUACAAUGGUAUCUACAACAGGAAGCAAGACUGCGAAGUUAAGCAAAUCCCUAAAAGAUACCUCAGUUCGGAUUGCACUCUGCAACUCGAGUGCAUGAAGCUGGAAUUACUAGUAAUCGUGGAUCAGCGUGCCACGGUGAAUGCGUUCCCGGGUCUUGUACUCACCGC